UACGUAGGGGGCAAGCGUUGUCCGGAUUUAUUGGGCGUAAAGAGCGUGUAGGCGGCCUUGCAAGUCCGUUGUGAAAACUCGAGGCUCAACCUCGAGACGCCGGUGGAAACUGCAAAGCUAGAGUCCGGAAGAGGAGAGUGGAAUUCCUGGUGUAGCGGUGAAAUGCGCAGAUAUCAGGAAGAACACCCGUGGCGAAGGCGGCUCUCUGGGACGGUACUGACGCUGAGACGCGAAAGCGUGGGGAGCGAACAGG
rnacentral:rRNA from 1 species